rnacentral:rRNA from 1 species
UACAGAGGGGGCAAGCGUUGUUCGGAAUUACUGGGCGUAAAGGGCGCGUAGGCGGCCUGUUAAGUCGAACGUGAAAUCCCUGGGCUCAACCCAGGAACUGCGUCCGAUACUGGCAGGCUUGAAUUCGGGAGAGGGAUGCGGAAUUCCAGGUGUAGCGGUGAAAUGCGUAGAUAUCUGGAGGAACACCGGUGGCGAAGGCGGCUCACUGGCCCGGUACUGACGCUGAGGUGCGAAAGCGUGGGGAGCAAACAGG